GCUUCUGCAAUCUGGCUUCUAUAUCUAUCAGCCCAUUGAUCACCAGGGUUGAUUCAGUUUAUCUAACUAGCUAGACAGAUGCCCCCUUCCUCCAUCACUGCUCCAUAUGCAUCCCUCCCAAAGCUGCUCAAUCUUUCCUGAAUAGAGGAGGACUGAUCUUCUGUCAACGGUAUGUGAGUAGCUAUGCUCCCCUGCUAGAACCUCUAAACUAGCUCCACACAAUUUUUAAAGGGCUCAAAUGGAACCAACCAUUGCAGAAAAGUUCAAAUCACCAGCCUGUGCAGAUAGCAUUAUCAUGAUUGCU
ensembl:misc_RNA 7SK 7SK RNA